UGCCGUAGUGGCGGAACUGGCAGACGCCCGGGACUUAAAAUCCCGUGGGUAGUGAUACCCGUACCGGUUCGAUUCCGGUCUGCGGCAGCC
rnacentral:tRNA from 1 species